CCCCGGUAGCGGCACCAUUAAGGGUGUCAGAUAGAAAGCUCUUUCUCGAUUUGUUGCUGCUGGAGCAUGGCCGUCUUAAUUGGUGGAGUGAUUUGUAUCGUUUGUGCGAUAACGAGCGCGACUCUAGCGUGAUAAAUCGCUGCCGUAUGCUAGGGUUCGUCUGACUUCCUAGUCGGAUAAGCGGUGUGUAUCCGCACGAGAUUGAGCGAUUACAGCUCUGUGAACCAUUAGAUGUCCAGGGCUGCACGCGUACUAACACGGUUGAGUCAGCGGGUUUUUCCUGGCCGAAAGGUGUCGGUAAACCGUUCAAACAAAAAUUGUCCGGGGUAGGGUAAAAUGGUAACACCCAUAAACGAGGAAUGCUUAGUAAGAUUGAUUCAAGGGUGCACGGAGU
rnacentral:ncRNA from 1 species